AGAGUUUGAUCAUGGCUCAGGACGAACGCUGGCGGCGUGCUUAACACAUGCAAGUCAAGGAGAACGGAUCCUUCGGGAUACUAUUAAACUGGCGAACGGGUGAGUAACGCGUAGGCAACCUGCCUUGGAGAUUGGGAUAACCCCGGGAAACCGGAGCUAAUACCAAAUAAUGCAGCGGAUCCUUCGGGAUAUGUUGUUAAAGUGGGCUUCGGCUCACACUUCAAGAUGGGCCUGCGUCCGAUUAGCUUGUUGGUGAGGUAAUGGCUCACCAAGGCGAUGAUCGGUAGCUGGUCUGAGAGGAUGAUCAGCCACACUGGGAUUGAGAUACGGCCCAGACUCCUACGGGAGGCAGCAGUGGGGAAUUUUGCGCAAUGGACGAAAGUCUGACGCAGCAACGCCGCGUGAUCGAUGAAGCUUCUAGGAGUGUAAAGAUCUGUCGUGAGGGAAGAAAAAUCUGGAUGUAAAUAAUGUUCAGACGUGACGGUACCUCACAAGAAAGCACCGGCUAACUUCGUGCCAGCAGCCGCGGUAAUACGAGGGGUGCUAGCGUUGUCCGGAAUUACUGGGCGUAAAGGGUUCGUAGGCGUCUUGCCAAGUUGAUCGUUAAAGCCACCGGCUUAACCGGUGAUCUGCGAUCAAAACUGGCGAGA
rnacentral:rRNA from 1 species